rnacentral:lncRNA from 1 species
CCCAGGACCAAAACCAGGCUGGUGCCCGAGGGCAGGAACGUGACCUUCCGCUGCGGCCAGAAGAUCCUCCACAAGAAAGGGAAAGUGUAGUGACUGGUACAAGGACCAGGAGCCCCUGGAGUUCUCCUACCCCGGCUACCUGGCCCUGGGCGAGGCGCACCUGAGCAUCAUCGCCAACGCCGUCAAUGAGGGCACCUACACCUGCGUGGUG